AUUGAACGCUGGCGGCAGGCUUAACACAUGCAAGUCGAGCGGGGUGAUGGUGCUUGCACUAUCACUUAGCGGCGGACGGGUGAGUAAUGCUUAGGAAUCUGCCUAUUAGUGGGGGACAACAUCUCGAAAGGGAUGCUAAUACCGCAUACGUCCUACGGGAGAAAGCAGGGGAUCACUUGUGACCUUGCGCUAAUAGAUGAGCCUAAGUCGGAUUAGCUAGUUGGUGGGGUAAAGGCCUACCAAGGCGACGAUCUGUAGCGGGUCUGAGAGGAUGAGCCGCCACACUGGGACUGAGACACGGCCGAGACUCCUACGGGAGGCAGAAGUGGGGUAUAUUGGGCAAUGGGGGGAACCCUGAUCCAGCCAUGCCGAGUGUGUGAAGAAGGCCUUAUGGUUGUAAAGCACUUUAAGCGAGGAGGAGGCUCUUUUGGUUAACACCCAAGAUGAGUGGACGUUACUCGCAGAAUAAGCACCGGCUAACUCUGUGCCAGCCGCCGCCGUAA
rnacentral:rRNA from 1 species